CAGUCGCCACGGUAAAACGAAGGGGGCUAGCGUUGUUCGGAAUUACUGGGCGUAAAGCGCACGUAGGCGGAUAUUUAAGUCAGGGGUGAAAUCCCAGAGCUCAACUCUGGAACUGCCUUUGAUACUGGGUAUCUUGAGUAUGGAAGAGGUGAGUGGAAUUCCGAGUGUAGAGGUGAAAUUCGUAGAUAUUCGGAGGAACACCAGUGGCGAAGGCGGCUCACUGGUCCAUUACUGACGCUGAGGUGCGAAAGCGUGGGGAGCAAACAGGAUUAGAGACCCGUGUAGUCCCUGUCUCUUAUAC
rnacentral:rRNA from 1 species